GGGGAUAUAGCUCAAGUGGUAGAGCACAUGCCUAGAAUGCACAAGGUCCUGGGUUCAAUCCCCAGCACCUCCU
rnacentral:tRNA from 1 species